GGUCUAUCAAAAUGACGGUUAAGAUUUUUGAAAGAGAAAACCGUGUUAUUGCGGACCCCAUCCCAGCUCCUGCUCAUAAGAACAUUGUUAAUUUGUUGAAGGCUUACAAUGAGUGCUGAUUUUUCUACAUACUUUGAUGAGAAUACUGAGCCACGUACAGGAUUUUCAGUAAAUUUUGACAAAGUUGUACAACCUUUGUCGUCUUCUUGUCCACGUCCUAUAUUGAAGCAGUCACAGACAAAUAAUUUGGCACAUAAUUUUUCACCAAAGAAAUCUAGGAUAAAGGUAUUUCCAGGUCAGCCUACUAGUAAUACAGGUAGCCCAUCAGUCUGGGAAGCACUACGUCAACUCGACGAAAGUGAGCGUUGGGUUGAACGUAGCCAGGUUGUUACCAAACAGGAUCACAUUGAUUACACUCAAU